rnacentral:misc_RNA from 1 species
AACGCAUAUUGCGCUCUUUGGUAUUCCGAAGAGCAUGCUUGUUUGAGUAUCAGUAAACACCUCAAAACUCUUGAUUUUUUCAAGAGCUUUGGACUUGAGCAAACCCAACACCUUCUCUCACGAUUUGGCGGCGGGUUGCUUGAAAUGCAGGUGCAGCUGGACAUUCUCCUGAGCUAAAAGCAUAUUUAUUUAGUCCCGUCAAACGGAUUAUUACUUUUUGCUGCAGCUAACAUAAAGGGAGUUUUGACCGUAUUGGCUGACUGAUGCAGGAUUUCACAGAGUCGGAAACGGUUCUGUCAAACUCGAUCUCAAAUCAAGUAAGAUUACCCGCUGAACUUAA